GGGGAUGAUCGGCUUCGACGGGAGAGGCUGGUCCCGGAUGGCGAGCCGAGAGGUGCCGAACUCGUAAAAUCCGCACAAAAACUUAAGUGCCAACCGCACUUCCUACGCUGCUCUUCCCCUCGCUGCAUAAGCGAAGUAGAGCUGCAACCGUUUCCUCGUGAGACGGCGUCUGCCUACCCCGUUCUCCGGCCGGAGGUAGAGUGGGCGUCACAACGCCGGUGUGCCGUGCAAAAUUCCACAGUUUGCAUGAAAGAAGGCUCUAGGGCCUGAGUGGAUUGCCUGUCGUUUUUUCUGUUGUUCUCUGAACGUCGGGUGAAACUGAAGAUCAACUACGCUCGUAGAGGUUCGAGGGUCGAUUCUUUCGGACGCGGGUUCAAUUCCCGCCAUCUCCACUA
rnacentral:tmRNA from 1 species